rnacentral:rRNA from 1 species
UGAACGCUGGCGGCAGGCCUAACACAUGCAAGUCGAGCGGAUGACAGGAGCUUGCUCCUGGAUUCAGCGGCGGACGGGUGAGUAAUGCCUAGGAAUCUGCCUGGUAGUGGGGGACAACGUUUCGAAAGGAACGCUAAUACCGCAUACGUCCUACGGGAGAAAGCAGGGGACCUUCGGGCCUUGCGCUAUCAGAUGAGCCUAGGUCGGAUUAGCUUGUUGGUGAGGUAAUGGCUCACCAAGGCGACGAUCCGUAACUGGUCUGAGAGGAUGAUCAGUCACACUGGAACUGAGACACGGUCCAGACUCCUACGGGAGGCAGCAGUGGGGAAUAUUGGACAAUGGGCGAAAGCCUGAUCCAGCCAUGCCGCGUGUGUGAAGAAGGUCUUCGGAUUGUAAAGCACUUUAAGUUGGGAGGAAGGGUUGUAGAUUAAUACUCUGCAAUUUUGACGUUACCGACAGAAUAAGCACCGGCUAAC